rnacentral:misc_RNA from 1 species
GUGAAUCAUCGAAUUUUUGAACGCAAAUUGCACUUUCUGGUAUUCCGGAAAGUAUGCCUGUUUUUGGGUCAGUUAAAUAAAAAUCGGUUUUGUUGCGGCCUUUCGUGGUGUCGCGUCUGAAUUGGGUCCUCUUACCUUUGUUUAAGUGACUUAAAAUUUUUUCAUGAUUUUCGUACUGUUUUAAAUCGCUUACGUACGUUUUAAACAUCG